GAGUUUGAUCGUGGCUCAGGAUGAACGCUGGCGGCGUGCCUAAUACAUGCAAGUCGAGCGAACGGACGAGAAGCUUGCUUCUCUGAUGUUAGCGGCGGACGGGUGAGUAACACGUGGAUAACCUACCUAUAAGACUGGGAUAACUUCGGGGAAACCGGAGCUAAUACCGGAUAAUAUUUUGAACCGCAUGGUUCAAAAGUGAAAGACGGUCUUGCUGUCACUUAUAGAUGGAUCCGCGCUGCAUUAGCUAGUUGGUAAGGUAACGGCUUACCAAGGCAACGAUGCAUAGCCGACCUGAGAGGGUGAUCGGCCACACUGGAACUGAGACACGGUCCAGACUCCUACGGGAGGCAGCAGUAGGGAAUCUUCCGCAAUGGGCGAAAGCCUGACGGAGCAACGCCGCGUGAGUGAUGAAGGUCUUCGGAUCGUAAAACUCUGUUAUUAGGGAAGAACAUAUGUGUAAGUAACUGUGCACAUCUUGACGGUACCUAAUCAGAAAGCCACGGCUAACUACGUCG
rnacentral:rRNA from 1 species